rnacentral:rRNA from 1 species
AGAGUUUGAUCCUGGCUCAGGAUGAACGCUAGCUACAGGCUUAACACAUGCAAGUCGAGGGGAACGACAUCGAAAGCUUGCUUUGAUGGGCGUCGACCGGCGCACGGGUGAGUAACGCGUAUCCAACCUGCCCAUCACUUGGGGAUAACCUUGCGAAAGUAAGACUAAUACCCAAUGACGUCUCUAGAAGACAUCUGAAAGAGAUUAAAGAUUUAUCGGUGAUGGAUGGGGAUGCGUCUGAUUAGCUUGUUGGCGGGGUAACGGCCACCAAGGCGACGAUCAGUAGGGGUUCUGAGAGGAAGGUCCCCACAUUGGAACUGAGACACGGUCAAACUCUACGGGAGGCA